rnacentral:rRNA from 1 species
GACGUAGGGCGCGAGCGUUGUCCGGAUUUAUUGGGCGUAAAGAGCUCGUAGGCGGCUUGUCGCGUCGUUCGUGAAAACUUGGGGCUCAACCCCAAGCUUGCGGUCGAUACGGGCAGGCUAGAGUUCGGUAGGGGAGACUGGAAUUCCUGGUGUAGCGGUGAAAUGCGCAGAUAUCAGGAGGAACACCGGUGGCGAAGGCGGGUCUCUGGGCCGAUACUGACGCUGAGGAGCGAAAGCAUGGGUAGCGAACAGG